rnacentral:rRNA from 1 species
GACGAACGCUGGCGGCGUGCUUAACACAUGCAAGUCGAACGAAAAGAGGGAAAGAGCUUGCUCUUUCCGGAAUUGAGUGGCAAACGGGUGAGUAACACGUAAACAACCUGCCUUCAGGAUGGGGACAACAGACGGAAACGACUGCUAAUACCGAAUAAGUUCCAAGAGCCGCAUGGCCCAUGGAAGAAAAGGUGGCCUCUACCUGUAAGCUAUCGCCUGAAGAGGGGUUUGCGUCUGAUUAGCUGGUUGGAGGGGUAACGGCCCACCAAGGCGACGAUCAGUAGCCGGUCUGAGAGGAUGAACAGCCGCACUGGAACUGAGACACGGUCCAGACUCCUACGGGAGGCAGCAGUGGGGAAUCUUCCGCAAUGGGCGAAAGCCUGAAGGAGCAACGCCGCGUGAGUGAUGACGGCCUUCGGGUUGUAAAACUCUGUGAUCCGGGACGAAAAGGCAGAGUGCGAAGAACAAACUGCAUUGACGGUACCGGAAAAGCAAGCCACGGCUAACUACGUG